UACGUAGGGUGCAAGCGUUAAUCGGAAUUACUGGGCGUAAAGCGUGCGCAGGCGGUUUUGUAAGUCUGUCGUGAAGCCCCGGGCCCCAACCUGGGAAUUGCGAUGGAGACUGCAAGGCUUGAAUCUGGCAGAGGGGGGGUAGAAUUCCACGUGUAGCAGUGAAAUGCGUAGAGAUGUGGAGGAACACCGAUGGCGAAGGCAGCCCCCUGGGUCAAGAUUGACGCUCAUGCACGAAAGCGUGGGGAGCAAACAGG
rnacentral:rRNA from 1 species